AUGUACUGUGUAUUUUAAAAAUAAGUAAAUACACUAAAAACAUUUGAAAGUUUUAAUAUGAACACUACAGCUUUUGCAAUAUUAACUGGCAUUUAUUUUAUUUAUUCAUUUUCUAAUACUUUUAGUUUUUACAUUUGUACUUUAAUUUCUAUUUGAAAAAUGAUGGUGUUAAAUUGUGGCUUUUGUGCAUUGUCUCCGUUCUCUCUGUCCUAUAGGGGUUAUGCGCAACACACUUCCGUAUUCUGCUAGCCAGGUCUCAUUGCUUCCGGUUCACGCGUUUUGCAAAUGCCCGUGAAAUAUGAAGCUGUUUUACUCAAGAUGCCUUCAAAGUAGACAGUAAAGAUAAUCAUAACCAAUGUCCAUCACAUAUGUGGAUUAAUAUAUAAAGGUUUUUUAUUUUUAUUAUUUUCAAUAACAUUUAUAUAUAAAAGUAAAAAAAAAAAACGUCAACAAUAAAAACAGCUAGCUAAUUUAACUGAUUACCUUAAAAGUCCAUUGAUAUCGCCAUUAUGUAAUACUGCUAUUAAUACGUUCUCUGACAAGCGGAAGCGAUGAGACCUGUUUUCCGGGUUUGGUCAGGUGACCUUCGACCUCUCUCUCCGUUACUCCAGGCUUCUGGAGAAGUGGAUUGGCUGCUUCUGCACGCUGAGAGCACAGCUGUAUGACAACUUAUUUUACAUUAGAAAGAAGGGACCCGAUAAAGACACCAGAUGUAAAGUCGUGUGCAGUGCAGAGGAGGCUGACCUGCUGUUCAAAGAAUUCCAUUCUAGCAAUAUUGGCGCACAUUUUGGACGGUUGAAAGCAAGAGAUGCCAUUUCUCAGCGGUGUUACCGGCCUGGCAUGUCAGCAGACAUAGAGAAUGGGUAAGCUCAUGCACUAUAUUCAUACUUAGUUCAAUGACUUAAUGAAAUCAAUAUAUUUUAUUCAUUUUAUAAUGUAUAAUUUAUAAUAAAUUAAUAUAAUAAAUGUUUGAGGUAUCACAAUGCACCGUGUGCCAGAAAGUGAGAAAAGACCUAAAACUUGAACCAGAUUACAUUCCAAUCAAGACCAAGGUUCCAUUCGAACUUGUCGGAAUGGACUUAACUGGAAAGCUGGUAAAAUCAGACCAGCAAUACCAGUACAUCCUUGUUAUCAUAGAUUACUGCAGGAAAUGGGCACAGGCGUAUCCUCUAAAAUCCAAGUCUGCUGCAGAAGUGACA